rnacentral:sRNA from 1 species
GUCUUUCCUCCUCCGCUUCUCCCCUCCCCUUACCUCUUUCCCCCGCCUCCUCUCCUAGCCUCCCCAUCUCUCCUCUACCCCAAUCUUCUGCCCUCUCCUCUGCUUCCCCGGCCUCCCCCUUCUGACUCUCCUCUCCCCUCUUUGUAUCCCCCAUCUUGCCUCCCUGCUUCCCACAUCCGACCACCCGACCUCUCUCCUCAGACGUGGACGAAUGUCGCGAGCGAGGCCCAGCCCUGUGCGGGUCGCAGCGCUGUGAGAACUCUCCCGGCUCCUACCGCUGUGUCCGGGACUGCGAUCCUGGGUACCACGCGGGCCCCGAGGGCACCUGUGACGAUGUGAACGAGUGUGAAACACUACAGGGUGUAUGUGGAGCUGCCCUGUGUGAAAAUGUCGAAGGCUCCUUCCUCUGUGUCUGCCCCAACAGCCCGGAGGAGUUUGACCCCAUGACUGGACGCUGUGUUCCCCCACGAACUUCUGCUGACGUGGACGAAUGUCAGCUCUUCCGAGACCAGGUGUGCAAGAGUGGCGUGUGCGUGAACACGGCCCCGGGCUACUCAUGCUAUUGCAGCAACGGCUACUACUACCACACACAGCGGCUGGAGUGCAUCGAUAAUGACGAAUGCGCCGAUGAGGAACCGGCCUGUGAGGGCGGCCGCUGUGUCAACACUGUGGGCUCUUAUCACUGUACCUGCGAGCCCCCACUGGUGCUGGAUGGCUCGCAGCGCCGCUGCGUCUCCAACGAGAGCCAGAGCCUCGAUGACAAUCUGGGAGUGUGCUGGCAGGAAGUGGGGGCUGACCUCGUGUGCAGCCACCCUCGGCUGGACCGUCAGGCCACCUACACAGAGUGCUGCUGCCUGUAUGGAGAGGCCUGGGGCAUGGACUGCGCCCUCUGCCCUGCGCAGGACUCAGAUGACUUCGAGGCCCUGUGCAAUGUGCUACGCCCCCCGGCAUAUAGCCCCCCGCGACCAGGUGGCUUUGGACUCCCCUACGAGUACGGCCCAGACUUAGGUCCACCUUACCAGGGCCUCCCAUAUGGGCCUGAGUUGUACCCACCACCUGUGCUACCCUACGACCCCUACCCACCGCCACCUGGGCCCUUCGCCCGCCGGGAGGCUCCUUACGGGGCACCCCGCUUCGACAUGCCAGACUUUGAGGACGAUGGUGGCCCCUAUGGCGAAUCUGAGGCUCCUGCGCCACCUGGCCCGGGCACCCGCUGGCCCUAUCGGUCCCGGGACACCCGCCGCUCCUUCCCAGAGCCCGAGGAGCCUCCUGAAGGUGGAAGCUAUGCUGGUUCCCUGUCUGAGCCCUACGAGGAGCUGGAGACGGAGGAGUGCGGGAUCCUGGACGGCUGCACCAACGGCCGCUGCGUGCGCGUCCCCGAAGGCUUCACCUGCCGUUGCUUCGACGGCUACCGCCUGGACGUGACCCGCAUGGCCUGCGUUGACAUCAACGAGUGUGAUGAGGCCGAGGCUGCCUCCCCGCUGUGCGUCAACGCGCGCUGCCUCAACACGGAUGGCUCCUUCCGCUGCAUCUGCCGCCCGGGAUUCGCACCCACGCACCAGCCGCACCACUGUGCGCCCGCACGGCCCCGGGCCUGAGCCCUGGCACCCGCUGGCCGCCCACCCGCGCCCGCCACUCGGGGCCCCUGCCGCGCAUCCUGCAGCCCACUUAUGUGUAUGUGCACGGGGCCGCCCGCC